UGGAAAUAGAGUGAAAUAUGAAAAGUCCAUUCAUCAAGUGGAUGUUUAUAUUCGGCAAUAUGGCUGCCUUCAAGGAGUGCGCGUUCGAAAUACGAAGAAAUACAAACGUAUACUGCUUGUUUUCUAUGGAUUAAUGGAGAUAAUUUGCAAACAGAAAGAAAGAAAGUAACAAAGUGGGCAAUUAUAAAGUAGAAGUAAGCAACAAUAUCGAAGAAACGUCAAUUAUAAAGCCA